rnacentral:rRNA from 1 species
GAUGAACGCUGGCGGCGUGCCUAAUACAUGCAAGUCGAGCGAACAGACGAGGAGCUUGCUCCUCUGACGUUAGCGGCGGACGGGUGAGUAACACGUGGAUAACCUACCUAUAAGACUGGGAUAACUUCGGGAAACCGGAGCUAAUACCGGAUAAUAUAUUGAACCGCAUGGUUCAAUAGUGAAAGACGGUUUUGCUGUCACUUAUAGAUGGAUCCGCGCCGCAUUAGCUAGUUGGUGAGGUAACGGCUUACCAAGGCAACGAUGCGUAGCCGACCUGAGAGGGGGACCGGCCAACCUGAAAGUGAGACACGGUCCAGACUCCUAGGGGAGGCAGCAGUAGGGAAUCGUCCGCAAUGGGCGAAAGCUUGACGGAGCAACGCCGGGUGGGUGAUGAAGGUCUGCGGAUCGUAAAACGCUGUUAUUGGGGAAAAACAAAUGUGUAAGUAACGAUGCACGUCUGGAGGGAACCUAAGCAGAAGGCCACGGUAACUUCCUU